rnacentral:rRNA from 1 species
UACGUAGGGACCGAGCGUUGUCCGGAAUCAUUGGGCGUAAAGAGCGCGCAGGCGGUCGAAUAAGUCGAAUGUGAAAGCCCCCGGCUCAACUGGGGAGGGUCAUUCGAUACUGCUCGACUUGAAGGCAGGAGAGGGUAGUGGAAUUCCCGGUGUAGUGGUGAAAUGCGUAGAUAUCGGGAGGAACACCAGUGGCGAAGGCGACUACCUGGCCUGUUCUUGACGCUGAGGCGCGAAAGCUGGGGGAGCAAACGGG